AAAUAGGUAGGUUAUUUAAACCUUUGAGUUGUGGUCUCAAAAAUACUGUAGAGUCCUAAUUC
rnacentral:tRNA from 1 species